rnacentral:rRNA from 1 species
GACGAACGCUGGCGGCGUGCUUAACACAUGCAAGUCGAACGGUGAAGCGCCUUCCUUUUUGGUGGGUGUGGAUGAGUGGCGAACGGGUGAGUAACACGUGAGUAACCUGCCCCCUUCUUCUGGAUAACCGCAUGAAAGUGUGGCUAAUACGGGAUAUUCUGGGUCUGUCGCAUGAUGGGUCUGGGAAAGAUAUUGUUUCGGUGGGGGAUGGGCUCGCGGCCUAUCAGCUUGUUGGUGGGGUGAUGGCCUACCAAGGCGGUGACGGGUAGCCGGCCUGAGAGGGUGGACGGUCACACUGGGACUGAGACACGGCCCAGACUCAUACGGGAGGCAGCAGUGGGGAAUAUGGCACAAUGGGCGCAAGCCUGAUGAAGCGAAGCCGCGUGAGGGAUGGAGGCCUUCGGGUUGUGAACCUCUUUCGCCAGUGAAGCAGGCCUGCCUCGUUUGUGGGUGGGUUGACGGUAGCUGGAUAAGAAGCGCCGGCUAACUACGUG